GCUUAACACAUGCAAGUCGAGGGGUAUAGUUCUUCGGAACUAGGGACCGGCGCACGGGUGCGUAACGCGUAUGCAAUCUACCUUAUACAGGGGAAUAGCCCAGAGAAAUUUGGAUUAAUGCCCCAUAGUGUUAUAGAAUCGCAUGGUUUUAUAACUAAAGUUCCAACGGUAUAAGAUGAGCAUGCGUCCCAUUAGUUAGUUGGUAAGGUAACGGCUUACCAAGGCGAUGAUGGGUAGGGGUCCUGAGAGGGAGAUCCCCCACACUGGUACUGAGACACGGACCAGACUCCUACGGGAGGCAGCAGUGAGGAAUAUUGGUCAAUGGGCGCAAGCCUGAACCAGCCAUGCCGCGUGCAGGAAGAAUCAUCUAUGGUGUGUAAACUGCUUUUAUACAGGAAGAAACCUCCCUACGAGUAGGGACUUGACGGUACUGUAGGAAUAAGGAUCGGCUAACUCCGUGCCAGCAGCCGCGGUAAUAC
rnacentral:rRNA from 1 species